rnacentral:rRNA from 1 species
GAUGAACGCUGGCGGCGUGCCUAAUACAUGCAAGUCGAGCGAACAGAUGAGGAGCUUGCUCCUCUGACGUUAGCGGCGGACGGGUGAGUAACACGUGGAUAACCUACCUAUAAGACUGGGAUAACUUCGGGAAACCGGAGCUAAUACCGGAUUAUAUAUUUAACCGCAUGGUUCAAUAGUGAAAGACGGUUUUGCUGUCACUUAUAGAUGGAUCCGCGCCGCAUUAGCUAGUUGGUAAGGUAACGGCUUACCAAGGCAACGAUGCGUAGCCGACCUGAGAGGGUGAUCGGCCACACUGGAACUGAGACACGGUCCAGACUCCUACGGGAGGCAGCAGUAGGGAAUCUUACGCAAUGGGCGAAAGCCUGACGGAGCAACGCCGCGUGAGUGAUGAAGGUCUUCGGAUCGUAAAACUCUGUUAUUAGGGAAGAACAAAUGUGUAAGUAACUAUGCACGUCUUGACGGUACCUAAUCAGAAAGCCACGGCUAACUACGUG